GGAGGGGUGGCAGAGUGGUUGAAUGCACCGGUCUUGAAAACCGGCGUGCCCUUACGGGCACCGUGGGUUCGAAUCCCACCCCCUCCG
rnacentral:tRNA from 1 species